GGAUCCGACUUUGAUUCUGGCUCAGGACGAACGCUGGCGGCGUGCCUAAUACAUGCAAGUUGAGCGCUGAAGGUUGGUACUUGUACCGACUGGAUGAGCAGCGAACGGGUGAGUAACGCGUGGGGAAUCUGCCUUUGAGCGGGGGACAACAUUUGGAAACGAAUGCUAAUACCGCAUAAAAACUUUAAACACAAGUUUUAAGUUUGAAAGAUGCAAUUGCAUCACUCAAAGAUGAUCCCGCGUUGUAUUAGCUAGUUGGUGAGGUAAAGGCUCACCAAGGCGAUGAUACAUAGCCGACCUGAGAGGGUGAUCGGCCACAUUGGGACUGAGACACGGCCCAAACUCCUACGGGAGGCAGCAGUAGGGAAUCUUCGGCAAUGGACGAAAGUCUGACCGAGCAACGCCGCGUGAGUGAAGAAGGUUUUCGGAUCGUAAAACUCUGUUGGUAGAGAAGAACGUUGGUGAGAGUGGAAAGCUCAUCAAGUGACGGUAACUACCCAGAAAGGGACGGCUAACUACGUGCCAGCAGCCGCGGUAAUACGUAGGUCCCGAGCGUUGUCCGGAUUUAUUGGGCGUAAAGCGAGCGCAGGUGGUUUAUUAAGUCUGGUGUAAAAGGCAGUGGCUCAACCAUUGUAUGCAUUGGAAACUGGUAGACUUGAGUGCAGGAGAGGAGAGUGGAAUUCCAUGUGUAGCGGUGAAAUGCGUAGAUAUAUGGAGGAACACCGGUGGCGAAAGCGGCUCUCUGGCCUGUAACUGACACUGAGGCUCGAAAGCGUGGGGAGCAAACAGGAUCAGAUAUCCUGGUAGUCCACGCCGUAAACGAUGAGUGCUAGAUGUAGGGAGCUAUAAGUUCUCUGUA
rnacentral:rRNA from 1 species